rnacentral:lncRNA from 1 species
CACGACCGAGCGCUGCGCGUCCCCGAGCGGCCCCGCAGCUCCAGGCUCCGGGCCGCUCGCUCUCCAGGCGUCGCCCGCGAGCAGCGAGCCGACCCGCCUGCGUCGCCUCCCUCUCGCUGCUCCCAGCCGGCCUCCCUCCGGUCGCCACCUUCCUCCCGCCCCAACCCCAACCCAGCGCCCGGGCCCGCUCACCUCCAGCGGUGCCGGCGCCCAUCCUGCUAGACGCCGUGGCAGCAUCCGCCCGCACCGCCUUGAGGGCGCUUGGCUGAGGGCUGCCUGAACGUCGGGGACCCGUGGAAGGGAAAUGGGGGGAAAGGACAGGAAAGACAGCCAGACUUCGGUCAGCCGGACUUCACUGAGGAAGGUGCGCUAGAGCAGGGCGGGUGCAGCUGGGCGGAGGACGAGUCCCAGGGCUGCGGCGGAGCCUGAGCUGCUUUCCUCCUGGGAAGAAGCCAAAGGACAGGAGGAUUUCUAGGGACGCUUCCGAGGGUGAAGGAGACCCUCUGAGGUCAUGUGGGGAGGACUAUUCCUAAAACCUACCAGAAAGCUGAGUAAGGGGGUGUCGUGCCUCGGUUUCCCCAACUGCGAGAACAAAACGGUAAUAGUUAUGUCACCUGCACAGGGUGUGGUCAAAAUGAAAAAAUGUAUUAUUCAAAGUGUUCCGAGAUCCUUUGCUUAAGAGGGCACUAAAAUUUAAAAUUGUCAGAUGAAUGCUUUCGGCUUUGUAUGUACUUC